rnacentral:rRNA from 1 species
UACGAAGGGGGCUAGCGUUGCUCGGAAUCACUGGGCGUAAAGCGCACGUAGGCGGAUUGUUAAGUCAGGGGUGAAAUCCUGGAGCUCAACUCCAGAACUGCCUUUGAUACUGGCGAUCUCGAGUCCGGGAGAGGUGAGUGGAACUGCGAGUGUAGAGGUGAAAUUCGUAGAUAUUCGCAAGAACACCAGUGGCGAAGGCGGCUCACUGGCCCGGUACUGACGCUCAGGCGCGAAAGCUAGGGGAGCGAACAGG